rnacentral:tRNA from 1 species
GCGCGGGUGAUGGAACUGGUAGACAUAGCAGACUUAAAAUCUGCCGGCUUCGGCCGUACGGGUUCGAGUCCCGUCCUGCGCACCA